rnacentral:lncRNA from 1 species
UUUUGGAUAACUCGUUUCUAUAAAAUCCUCUCAGGUACUCGUAGAAUGAUGGAUUCAUCAGUGACCGGAGGCAGAGUAGAAGUGGGAGGUGGCCUGGCGCCGAGAUGUUUGCGCAAGAGGCUAACAUGAAAGACAUUAUGUAUUUUUGCAUCUUCACGCAGGCGAAGACGGUAAGCUACGGAACCUACUUUCUCCACUAUUUCAAAGGGGCCAUAGAAGCAAGGUGAAAGCUUAAGAGAGUGACGAAAAGCAAUUGAAGUCUGUCUAUAAG